rnacentral:rRNA from 1 species
GAUCAACGCUGGCGGCGCACAUAAGACAUGCAAGUUGAACGGACUUAAUCGAAAUAUUUAUCUUUUGAAGCGGUUAGUGGCGGACUGGUGAGUAACGCGUAAGGAACCUGCCUAUUAGAGGGGAAUAACAGUGAGAAAUCAUUGCUAAUACCGCAUAUGCCAUAGAUAUCACAUGAUAACAGUGGGAAAGGAGCAAUCCGCUAAUAGAUGGCCUUGCGUCUGAUUAGAUAGUUGGUGGGGUAACGGCCUACCAAGUCGACGAUCAGUAGCCGGACUGAGAGGUUGAACGGCCACAUUGGGACUGAGAUACGGCCCAGACUCCUACGGGAGGCAGCAGUCGGGAAUAUUGCGCAAUGGAGGAAACUCUGACGCAGUGACGCCGCGUAUAGGAAGAAGGUUUUCGGAUUGUAAACUAUUGUCGUUAGGGAAGAGAAAGGACAGUACCUAAGGAGGAAGCUCCGGCUAACUACGUG